rnacentral:rRNA from 1 species
GUGGCAGCCGCCGCGGUAAUACGGAGGGUGCGAGCGUUAAUCGGAAUUACUGGGCGUAAAGGGCGCGUAGGCGGUCGCGCAAGUCGGGUGUGAAAGCCCCGGGCUCAACCUGGGAAUUGCAUUCGAUACUGCGUAACUAGAGUCUGGUAGAGGGAAGCGGAAUUCCGCAUGUAGCGGUGAAAUGCGUAGAUAUGCGGAGGAACACCAGUGGCGAAGGCGGCUUCCUGGACCAAGACUGACGCUGAGGCGCGAAAGCGUGGGGAGCAAACAGGAUUAGAUACCCUGGUAGUCCACGCCCUAAACGAUGAGGACUAGACGUUGGGGGGAUAAAACCCUUUAGUGUCGCAGCUAACGCGUGAAGUCCUCCGCCUGGGGAGUACGGCCGCAAGGUUGAAACUUAAAGGAAUUGACGG